UACGUAGGGUGCAAGCGUUGUCCGGAAUUAUUGGGCGUAAAGAGCUCGUAGGCGGCUCGUUGCGUCGGCUGUGAAAACCCGCAGCUCAACUGUGGGCUUGCAGCUGAUACGGGCGGGCUGGGAUUCGGUAGGGGAGACUGGAAUUCCUGGUGUAGCGGUGAAAUGCGCAGAUAUCAGGAGGAACACCGGUGGCGAAGGCGGGUCUCUGGGCAAUAACUGACGCUGAGGAGCGAAAGCGUGGGGAGCGAACAGG
rnacentral:rRNA from 1 species